UCAAAAUAUACAAAGCUAAGUCACAUAACAUAACACAUUUUUCAUGCCAACUUCUAGUCAUGAUCUGAUCAAUCGAUAUACUUAAUAUCAUUCUUAGCAGAGCUCUUAUGUUCGAGGCUUGGGAAUGAAAAUUAUUGCUUUAGUAGGAAACGUCUUAUUGCUCUUUGUGAAACCUUAUCUGACAUGAAUUCGUAUUAAUUGGGCAGGACAUAAAGUACAAAGAAAAUUAAUCAGAAAAAACCAUCAUUGAAUGAUCAACAUCAGGGAGUAGUAGCCACACCUCUUUCAAGUAGCUAGUCUAUAUCUUGCUACAAAGAUUAGACAUUUAUGUCUAAUGCAUGUUAUGUUAAUUUAUUGUUUCAUGGUGUUAUAUGAGUAGAGGAUUAAUGACAAAAAAGACAAGACAUUUUCAUACUUUGCUUGCUCUGGCUGCCUCCUUCUAUGAUUAAUUUAUCAAACUUCUUCCUCAAAUGCAUGUUUGAUGUUUCUAUUUCUGUCAUUUCCACUUUUUCAUACAGAACCCUCUGUCAAGUUCCACUACAUAUGUUCCACCUUGUCCUGGUCGAUUUAAUGUAGCAAAUACAUGCAAUAUAUAUAUAUAUAUAUAUAUGGAAGCAUUUAGUAGCAAUUACAUAAAGGCGUAUAAGAGUGCUAAUAUUACAUUCAACAGAAGGUAAUGAAUGAGUUAUCAUAUAUGCAGUUUAGCAUCUGGGAU
rnacentral:lncRNA from 1 species